ensembl:lncRNA
GAGAGUAUUUGGAUGCACCUGUCUUGUGUGUCUCAGGAGCACAUGCCUGUGGAGUUGUGUGCACAGAGGGAACAGGCAGUGUCGCAUCUGUGGGCUUAGUGUGAGGAGCUGUGCAUGCAGAGUCGCAGAGUUCAGAAGCAGCUGCAGGAAGAACUGGCCAAGCUGCAGCAGCACUGUACAGAGUCCCUGCCGCAGGCCGAGAGCCAUAAACAGUAGGUGUGUGUCUAUUUGUGUCUCAGAGGAACAAUGUCAAAACCUUUUGACAACUUCCUUUCAAUCUGAUCAAAAGGCGUGUCUCUUGACCCAUAUAGCCUUAAACCAUCUGCAUUCAGAACAUGGGACAGAUGGCAUCACUAUAAGAUGGUUAUACUGCAUUAACUCUGAGUCAACUGUGCUUGAUUGGCAGGUUCUAUCUGAGAAGGAGGCAGAGAAGGCUACUCUUACUGAGCGCAUAAUCACCCUCGAGCAUGACAUAGAGACAGCUGCCCUUGAAAAGGAUCGAAUGCGUAGAGACUUCUUGAGCAAACAGGAGCAGGAUAAGGUGAAGUGUUUGAGGAGGGAACUGAUUGAGGUGGAGGAGAGCAGGGACUCUGGCCGUAAGGAUCUGAUGGAGGCCCACUGAGAGCUAAGGGAGUGUUUGCAGGACAGGGACACUCAGCGGUUUGAGGGUUUGAAACUGAAGAGAGGUUUGGGAGAUGUUGUGAGAGAGAAAGAGGCCAUCCAGGCUUCUUAUAAUGGACUCCGAACAGCUGUGAAGAGAGCAGAGUUUGAAAACAACAGGUUUAGCAUACUACACAUUUUUGAAAUGUUGAUAUCUUUUGUAUUACAUACCUGUUUCCUGUUAGCUUGGCUAGCAGAAUAUAACAUCAGAUCAUCACUUAAUGUGAUUUUGAGUGGACAUAAACAAAAUUUAAUCUAAAACAUUAGUUUCAAAAAGAGGUUCUCUGUAUGGUAUAGCCUAAAUAUCAGCAAUUCCCUGUAAGGCCCAGUUUCUUUAUGGAACAAGAAAUUAGCAUCGUUAAAAAAAAUAUUAAUCUUCCUCUGUUUUAGUUCUUUUUUUAUCAGUUUGAGGCGAGUGGGAGAAGAAAAGGAUCAGAGGCUGACAGUGUUAGUGGAAUGUAAAUCCUCCCUCCAGCAGGAGGUGCUGAAGCUGAGAACCAACCAUGCGUGAACUUGAGAAAUCUCGCUUGCAGGCACGCAGAUAAGUGCAGGAACCUGCGCAGACAGGUGAAGACAUUACAGGGUCAGUGCACUCAACAAGGGCAAGAGUUGAGUGACAUGCAGGCCACACUGAACCAUGAAGAGCACAGAGAGGAGGAAAUGAGAAAGGAGACCUUUACUCUCAGACAAAGGGUACUGGAAAGCGAUGCUGGCAGAGAAGCAACUCUGAAGGAGGCUGCAGGUUUUCAGCGGCAUGUAGCAGAACUGGAAGAAGCACAGUGCCAGGAGAAAGAGGUGCAGCAACAAUGGCAUGAUAAUCUUCAGGAGAGCCAAGUGAAGCAGUGUGUGGAGGUUGCUCGCUUGGAGUGGGCACUGCAGGAGGCCCAGGCCCAGCUCAAGGAGCUUGGGCUGAAGGUGAGUCUAGCAGAGGCCCGGGCCCAGGGGCUGGAAGAGCAGCUGGGACAGAAUGAAGCCAUACGGAUAAAUCUUGAGCUCAGGUUGAAUGUUCUCAGUUCUACCCUAAGACGUACACUUGGAAGCGGACGUGGAAGACAGUCGCCCGCACCAUGGAGAACUCGAUCUGGGGAACGGACGGAGUCACUCACCAUGGAGAACUCGAUCACCUGUGAAAGGUAAUGCAUUCUCAGUCCAAUAAUGAAUUGGGUCUCUGUAGCAAAGGUCAAGAAGAAGAUCACCACUCUUAUAUUACAAAGGAUUCUUUUCUUAAUAUCUAAAGGUUAUUUAACAAUGUGCUGCUAAAACUUACAUGGUGUUCUAAGUUACUUGUGAGAAGAAUUAAAUAAAACCUUCUGU